rnacentral:rRNA from 1 species
AGCUCCAAUAGCGUAUAUUAAAGUUGUUGCGGUUAAAAAGCUCGUAGUUGGAUUUCUGUCAGUGAGUGAUGCUCCGCCCUUCGUGGUUGGUAGCCAUCAUCGCGCUGUCAUCUUCUUGGGGAGUGUAUCUGCACUUCACUGUGUGGUGCACAAGCCAGGACAUUUACUUUGAGGAAAUGAGAGUGUUUCAAGCAGGCGUGCGCCGUGAAUACGUUAGCAUGGAAUAAUAGCAUCGGACCUCGCUCC